AAUUCGAUUGAGUUUGAUCAUGGCUCAGGAUCAACGCUGGCGGCGUGCCUUAUGCAUGCAAGUCGCACGAUCAUUUCGGUGAUAGUGGCGGACGGGUGAGUAACACGUACAUGACCUGCCCCGAACUGGGGGAUAACCGCCCGAAAGGGUGGCUAAUACCGCAUGUGGUCCCCGGGUUGCGGCCCGGGGAGUAAAGCUCCGGCGGUUUGGGAGGGGUGUGCGGCCGAUUAGCUAGUUGGUGGGGUAACGGCCUACCAAGGCGUCGAUCGGUAGCUGGUCUGAGAGGACGGCCAGCCACACGGGGACUGAGAUACGGCCCCGACUCCUACGGGAGGCAGCAGCAAGGAAUCUUGGUCAAUGGGCGAAAGCCUGAACCAGCGACGCCGCGUGGAGGAUGAAGGCCCUCGGGUCGUAAACUCCUUUUACGUGGGAAGAAGAUCUGACGGUACCACGUGAAUAAGCCACGGCUAACUACGUGCCAGCAGCCGCGGUAAUACGUAGGUGGCAAGCGUUGUCCGGAUUUAUUGGGCGUAAAGCGCGCGCAGGCGGUUCGUUAAGUUCGGUGUGAAAGCUCCCGGCUCAACUGGGAGAGGUCAUCGGAUACUGGCGGACUCGAGGGAGGUAGAGGAAGGUGGAAUUCCCGGUGUAGUGGUGAAAUGCGUAGAGAUCGGGAGGAACACCAGUGGCGAAGGCGGCCUUCUGGGCCUUUCCUGACGCUGAGGCGCGAAAGCGUGGGGAGCGAACCGGAUUA
rnacentral:rRNA from 1 species